AAAACAACAGUAUCACGUGGGUGGCUAACGUAUGAUAUUCGAUAGGUGGCGCUCUGUAAACGUAUAGACGCAGAUCAGUAUGAAAUAUAUUUGCUCUAUUUUCGUUUAAAUAAUAUCUUAUCUUCUCGAAUUAGUCUAAGAAGUGUUUAUAUAAUUUACAAUGAAGUUGUUAUCAUUUUUGAGGGCUUCAUUUUAUAGUGGUAAAUAAUUUAGUAAAUUCGAAUAUGCGACUUAUCGGAUUUGAAAUUCAAUUGUAUUGGCGGACAAAAAAACGACGGGUUGACAGACAAAGUUGUAUAUAUUCCAAACAAAAGAAAAAGAUUGUGAAAAUUAUGAUAAUUCAACAUGUGUCAAAAGUCCAGGAGGAAGAUGAAAAUAUUUAGAGGAAAAGAAAAAUGAAAACCUACCAAGAUUUUGUCACAGAAAGAGUGAUGAGAUCUCAGGUUGGAGACGGUAAUGAUACGCUUAAAGUAUGCCCCAGAUCGACAUAGUGGAGGAGGACGAAAGAAGAAUACUAAUUAAGAUACAUGAACAUUGCUGUUUAUAGUAAUAACAAAAUAUUCAGAAUAUUGUUCCAUUUAACAUUCAGAUCUAGAUUCAGUUAUAAAAUACAAAGACAAAUAUACAAUCAGUGAGUUGGAUAGAUGAUUGAAAAAUCCCAAACUCAGAGUGAUCAGUUCAGUGGUGAUAUAAGAAAAAACACAUGCA